GUUUGUCUCUCGUAAAUGACAAUAUCUAUUCUUCAAAUACCUGACGUUUCAUUCAAAAUCCUUUUUUGUGAUUCAUUUAUGUGCAGAUAUGAGGUAAGGCGCCUUGCUCAAGAGGCUUACAGAUAAAAUGGACAACACACGGCCGGAGGACAGUAAUAAACGCACACUUUAACGAAGGGGUCGGAGUAUCCGUUGGAGUCCAUGGCGGCAAGGUGGGCGCAGCGCACCACUCCCACCACCAGGCGGCCCUGCCGGCUGUCGUAGUGCAGAGACACCUGGACGCGGCCCCGCUCUUCGCUGCUCUCUCCGUCCUUGCCCUGCAAACAUAUGAAUACGUUGACAUAUAUUUAUGGAUCAUAUAUGUAUCAACAACCAACCAGAUAAAGUUAAAAAUGUAUAAGGAAAAUAAUGUAUAGAUCAUUAAAAUAUGUAUUUGUAUUUGUA